AAGUCGUAACAAGGUUUCCGUAGGUGAACCUGCGGAAGGAUCAUUCAUGUGAUUUCAAAACACCCAAACUUUAUGUUAACUAUUAGUAACAAAAGUGCUUCAGGUUCAGUGUUUUUCUUUUGUUGGCUGCGUUUUCUUUUACCUCAUUCUAUUUUCAAAGCACUAUAAACAAAAGGGUAAAUUUUACCCAGAAAAUAGGUAAAAAAAGAUAAAUGCUACCUUUUAUAAUUUCACACUAAAAUUCACCCAAAAACCAUACCAUGUAACUAUUAAAACUAGUACAACUUUUAACGAUGGAUCCCUCGGCUCUUA
rnacentral:misc_RNA from 1 species